UCUGCCUGUCUUGGCCUCCCAAAGUGCUGGAAUUGCAGGCAUAAGUCACUGCCUCUAGCCUGGGGAGGGAGGGUUACUGUUGAAGUAUUAUCUUUGUAUCCUAAAACAUGCCCUUUUGAAAGCGAUGACGUUGAUAAAAAUCUUCUACUGAAGUCUUUGCAAGGAAGCCAUCAUUCUUCAGAAGGCAAUGACGGAACAGUACCAGCAGCAACUGAAGGACCAGCAGAAGAAUUUCCCUGGCUAAUACCUCCAGUACACUGCUGAGUAGAGUGGUUAAAGUGGAAAUUCUUGCCUUCUCAAACUUUCAGGUGUUGAAGAAGAAGAAAAGGUUGCAAAGAUGUGUAAAAUGAAGUCUGCAAUCCAGCUGUAUCAGAUGGUGUAGAUGCUGUAGAAAUGGCAACCCUCGGAAAAACAGUUGAGGACUUUUUCUGCUUUUGCUAUGGGAAAGUUUAGAAAAAUCCACAGUGGUACCUGUACCAUAUGAGAAGAUGCUAUGAGACCAGUCAGCUGUGGUAGUAUAGGGGCUUCCAGAAGAUGUUGCCUUUAAACACCCUGAGAAUUACUAUCUUGCAGCCCUAAAAUAGAUUUUGGAGAACACAGCAGGGAUUUCAUUUAUAAUUAAGAGGAGAGUAAUUACUAAGAAGUGGAUAAAUUUACACUGAACUGUUAAGAAACUGACCAGCUGUUUUCCAGAGUGGCUGUACUGUUUUCUAGUCUCUCAGCACAUUAUGAAGGUUCCAGUUUCUUUACAUUGCUGCCAACUUACUGUCUUCUUGAUGUGAGCCAUCGUAAUAGUUGAAGAAUUGGGGAGCACUGAAGCCAAGGCUGUCCUGUACCAACAAUUUGAGGCACACCUGAACGAUCUGUGUCUGGAAGGACUACCAGAAAAUAUUCCUUGCAGAAAUCCCUCAUGGCAUGGAAUCUCAAGGAUGGAAAACAUCGUUCAAGUGGGCAGUCAAAUUUGUUAUAAAAGACAGGAACUUCUGACUCACAGUACAACAGAAGUUACUCAGCCAAGAACAGAUACACCAGAAAGUCAAUACGAGCACUCCUUGAUACAUCAAUAUGAACACAUGCAGUUUGGGGAUAACUCAGGCUUUGAACUUAGACUAAUGCCAUUCAAGAGAAAUACAGCAUGCACCACAAAUGAGCCCUGCAGAGGAGAAGAUAAAGUCAAUGCUUAACUCAUAGGUUAAUCUACUCAGCAUGCUUUUGAUUUGGGCAAAGAAUCAAAGUAUUGAAGAAGAAAAUGGGAAGUGACAUUUUUUGCUCUCAGCCAACCUCCUAGCCAAGCAGCUGCUCAUCCAACCUCUUAGUAAACCUCUGAGACACUCUCAGUCAGACAGUCUUUUGGCCAGCCCCACAGCCAGCCAGCCUCACGGCGAGCCUCCCAUGCAGCCAGUGUUUUGAAUAGCAUUUUAGCAAGCCUCUUGCCCAGUGAGAAAACCUGGAACUUGGUCAGCCUUCUGAAAGCCAGCCUUUUGGUUUAGCCUCCCAUGCAGCCAGCCUCUAGGCCAGCCGCCUAACAAUCCAGCCUGACACCCAGGCUCUUAGCUGGACUCAGCCUACCAGGCUCUCAGCAAGCCAUUUAGCAAGAAUUUAAAGCAGGCUCUCAGACAGACUCUCACACAGGCUCUACGCCAGCCUCCUAGUUGGCCAACCUCUCAUCCAUGUUCUUGGCAAGCCUCCCAGCAAGCAUCUGUUGGCUUCCUAGCCAUUUAGCCUGAAGACCAGCCUCCCAUGCAGCCAGCAUUCCAUAAAGUGUUCCACAAGCCUCUCUUCCUGCCAUAAAAACCGUCAUUCGACCAGCUUACCAUGCAGCCAGGCUGUAGGCUGGCCUCCAAAAAAAUGGCCUGCCACCCAUCCUCCUAGGCCAAUUCGUCUUGCCAGACACUUGGCAUGCGUUUCAGGAAGCACGUGAGGCAGCCUGUCGCACAGACUCUCACACUGUCGCCCAGGCUUCCAGACAGCCAGCCUCUGAUCCAGCCUUUCAGAAAGCUGCUAAGCAAAUCUCCCACCCAGCCUGCUUCAAGACCAACCUCUUAUGCAGCCAGCAUUUUUAACAGCCAUCCAGCAAGCCUCUUGCACAGCCAGACAAUCUGCCACUCUGCCAGUUUCCUUGCCAGAAUCUGGGUUAGCGUCCUAUGCAGCCAGUCUCUAGGCCAGGCUCCUAACAAGCCAGCCUUCCAUUCAACCACUUAGCCGGAAUCAGCCUGCCAGGAUCUCAGCAAGGCUUUUAGCAAUCGUUUAAGGUAGCAUAUCAGAUAGAAACCCUCUCACACAGGCUCUCAGCCAGCAUCCUGGCCAGUCAGCCUCUCAGUAAGCCUCUAAGCCAGGCUCCCAGCAAAUGAUCCUCAAGAUUGCCAUUCCAUACAGUCAUCGUCUCAGCCACCCUCUUAGCAGUGCUUUCAUCCAUCCAGCCUAAUUGCCUCUUGGCCUGCCUCCUAGCCAACCAGCCUGCUGGCCAGACUAUUAACAAGCUUGUCAGCCAUUGAGCCUCUCAACAAGCCAGACUUUUAUUUGGCCUUUGAGCCAGACUCCACAUGCCAGGCUCUCACUGUGUCUGGAGUUGGUUCCUGCAAGUGGGUUUGUGGUCUCACUAACUUAAAGAAUGAAGCCCGCAGACCUUUGUGGCUUUUCUUGCUUUGUCCACCAAGCUGCUCUGUGCCAGAAGGAGGAGCAACCAGCCACACACUGGAGCCUGAAGCCUGGAGACUGGGACAUGGCAGAUGGCCUCACUGCAGUGGGUGGCACACUGGAGUGCAAGCCAUCAUUCUUUAGAAGGCAAUGAUGGAACAGUACCAGCAGAAAUUGAAGAAGCAGCAGAAGGGAUCAUGGCCCAAGUUGCAGUGUCCACCCUGUCCGCUGAAGAUGAAGAGUCCUUGGAGAGCAGGAUGGCUGUGACAUUCCUCAUUCUCUCUCUCUCUUCCAAACUGAAGUGCAAUGACGCAGUCAUAGCUAACUGCAGCCUCAACCACCUGGGCUCAAGCAAUUCUCCCACCUCAGCCUUCGAAGUAUCUGGGACUACAGAAUUGAUGUUAGACUACUCAGUUUCUGUUAAUGAGGAGAUGAAGUGGAGUUGUUUGCACACUGUACCUAAGGAUCAUCCAUUUGUAAGGCUGGACUGGAAUUUGAGGGGCCACCUUGGGAAAAAGAAGUGAACAUGUGCUGAGCAGCUACUAUGAGCUGGGCUCUUUCACCUGCUCUCUGGGUGAACUCCUGGCCCUCAAGUCUUUGGACUUGGACAAUCUGUAGCUAGGAAGAAACACAACCACAGUCCAACCUAUUCUUCAGUUACAUUCAAGAGGCCAAGUGAGGUGAAAUUGUUUACCCAAUUUUCUAUACUUUCAUUGUGGGUGCUAAGUGGGGGUGGAGAGUGAAAUCAAAAACUAAAAUAAUCAUAAGAACAAUAAAAACAACCUGUUCCUCUGAGAGAACAAAUGUUUUUGUAAUCACAGACACGUUUCUUUAGCUGCUGUAUAAGCCAAAUACUGUUUUUCCUCUCAGUAGACAAUUGACUGCUCUUCUCACAUAUACGUCCAUGCAUGAUUUGUUGUCAAAUAUUUACAUAGAAUCUGCCAUAGCAGUGUGUUCCCACACCCCAACACACAGAGCCAGUGUGUUUGGUGUUAGAAUUCUCCGAACUGUGGACUAAGGACACUGUUUGGAAUGAUCCAGAUUCCAAUCGGUGUUCUGGCCACUGGACGAUGCUGCUCUGAGACAGUGUGGGAGGUGACCCAAAUAUCAGACAGUGUGAAAGCCACUCAUGUCUGACCUCUGCUUGGUGAGCCAGAGGAAGCUGCGUGAAUGGGAAGAAAUAAUGAAUUGCUUGCAGGAAAGUAUAUGAGAACCUACUGAAUAAGACUUGGUGCUAAUCAACACAAGGACCCUGGCACUGUUUUAAAACAGAUGCCUCCACACUCUUAGAGGAAGGAGGGAGGACAGAGUGUCUUCUCAAAUUUCUUUCAAACCCUUUUGUUUUCUAAACAAUGAAGAAAAAAAAAAAAAGAAUGUGGGUAAAAUAGCUUUCACCCAAAUGAUAGCAUAGACAUAGCAAUACUGUAUUUCCUAGUGUUCUUUUGGAUUAAUAAACUCCCUUCUACUACAUAUUGUUUACAAUUUUGUCCUCAUUAACUUCUAAAUUAUCCAUAAAUGUCUAUUUCUCUUAAUUCAAGAUUCAACUGGUCUAGAAGAAUUUCUCCAACAUAUUAAGUUGUCUUUGACCACAAUUACCUUUUGACACUUAAAUAUAUAUACUCUCUUUUAAAGAAAUGCCUUUUUUGCUUAUCUCUGUCCAUCCC